rnacentral:rRNA from 1 species
CCUUCGGGUACAAUUGAGACAGGUGGUGCAUGGUUGUCGUCAGCUCGUGUCGUGAGAUGUUGGUUAAGUCCCGCAACGAGCGCAACCCUUGUGUUUAGUUGCAAACAGGUCAAGCUGUGCACUCUAGACAGACUGCCGUGGACAACACGGAGGAAGGUGGGGAUGACGUCAAAUCAUCAUGCCCCUUAUGAUCUGGGCUACACACGUGCUACAAUGGUCGGUACAAAGGGUUGCCAAGCCGCGAGGUGGAGCUAAUCCCAUAAACCGAUCGUAGUCCGGAUCGCAGUCUGCAACUCGACUGCGUGAAGUCGGAAUCGCUAGUAAUCGUGAAUCAGAAUGUCACGGUGAAUACGUUCCCGGGCCUU